GCAAGUCGAGCGGUAACAUUUCUAGCUUGCUAGAAGAUGACGAGCGGCGGACGGGUGAGUAAUGCUUGGGAAUAUGCCUUAUGGUGGGGGACAACAGUUGGAAACGACUGCUAAUACCGCAUAACGUCUACGGACCAAAGGGGGGGAUCUUCGGACCUCUCGCUUCUUGAUUAGCCCAAGUGAGAUUAGCUAGUUGGUGAGGUAAAGGCUCACCAAGGCGACGAUCCCUAGCUGGUUUGAGAGGAUGAUC
rnacentral:rRNA from 1 species